UACAGAGGUGCCGAGCGUUAGGCGGAAUCACUGGGCUUAAAGCGUGUGUAGGCGGAUGCCUAAGUACCUUGUGAAAUCCCACGGCUUAACCGUGGAACUGCUUGGUAUACUGGGUGUCUUGAGCCACUUAGGGGCGACCGGAACAAACGGUGGAGCGGUGAAAUGCGUAGAUAUCGAGAGGAACACCUGCGGCGAAGGCGGGUUGCUGGGCUGACACUGACGCUGAGGCGCGAAAGCUAGGGGAGCGAACGGG
rnacentral:rRNA from 1 species